GGUUGUUUAAAUGACACAAAUUAUCUCUUCAUUGGAGUGUGAGGUUGAGUUUUGCAAGCCCAGUGAUCAGAGGUUGCAGUAGCUGAGUGUCAGCAGAAGCUCCUGCAGCAAAACUUGACAUUGGAUGGACAAAAACCUCCCAAAUGUACACGCUUUCCAAGUGCUACACUGUCUGUGCUGCGGAGGCCAGGAACUCUGUCAAACAAUACAUGCUACAAGACUGGAGCCAGAGCAGCCAUCUGGAAUGAAGGUGUAGUGCUGGCAGAGAGGAAGAUUCCAGGUUGUGUGUGCCAAGACAAAUUUCUGGUGUGACCAAAACCACAGUCAAGUGAGCAUUACUAAGAGUUCCCUUCCAAAGUGCCUUCCUGAUCUGAACUUGAACACUAGAGUAGAUACACCUUUCAGUGGAUACUGAAUUAGCACAUUCUUCUACAACCCUGUCAUAAAUUGAAGAUGAGGAUGCAGUAAAAGUUAUUGACUAUUUCACUACAUAUCUUCAUAGAUGGGACAUGCUGAGACUGUCAUUCAAGCCCUUGAUGAGACAAACAAGACUGCAUGAGUGGCUAGGUCUUUUUAAACACUGUAUUUCUGAAAACCAAGAAGAGCAGCAAAUACCUUCUCUCUGUAGUGUGCACACUCCUGCCUUUGAGGAAAGGAGGAAAGAAGAGUCAACACAGCACCCACUUUAUUAGAGAAACUAUCCAUGAAAGAAGGAAGAAGAAAGGAGUUAGCUGCACUAGUGACUGGCUGCAGUCAUCUUUCAGCCCUGUUGCUCUCCAGCAGGUGAAGAGGUUGGCAGUGGGGACUGCUGUUUUCUGUGCUCUAAAGGGACACUGAGCAUGAUGUGCUAACCUGGAGAAGCCAUACCAGCUUUCAGCACGGUUGAAGUAUGAUGCUGGAAAAAGGCACUGGUGUAGAUGGAAGUUCCAGCAAUAAAUAUUGAAUAUUCUUUAUACAUUGCCCAGAAGAGAAGUGGGACAAUGAAGUUGUUCAAUGCCAGUGAGAUACUGCAUAAACAAAGCAGCUGUUGGUGGAGCAGAGGAUCAACAUCUCCAAAAGCUGGAAGCUCAGGCAUUCCAUCCUCUCCAGAAUUAAACUGUACUCCAGACUGGUAAUGUACAAAUAGGCCAUCGUUCCACAUUUUCAUAAUUUCCCUUUUGAGCAUGUUACAUGUGCUUGUUCUGGAGUCCGCAUUCAAAAGCAACAUAUGUGCAAGACACACCCAAAGAGCAAGAGCUUCCAUCUCCUACUGUACUGUAGCAGAUGGCUUCUUUGGGAUUUUCAUGCAAAAAAUACAACUGAAUACACUGGGAUUCCUAUCUCAUGUCCCCUACAGAUCCACAGGCUAGGAAUGAAGAAGGAAAUAUAAUGUGACUGCUCACUGCAGCCCUGACUGCCUUGUGCUUCACUUGUGAUGAUUCAUGAGGACUGUCUUGGUGGUGCAGUUCUAAUCUAGGGGUUCCAGACAAAACCAUAGCUACUGGCAUUUGGACAACUGACCCCAUAAGGAGAGGGGAUAAUCUCCAGUGCCAUGGCAGUAAUUGCCAGCUGCUUUUUUAUUUUUUUAUUUUUUAGUGGGAAAACCAUACAUAUAGACAAUGCUUUGUUUGACGACAAAAACAUUUAGAAACAUGCCCAACAAGACAACAGCGUUCAGCAUGUUAAAAUAAUCUCCUUCUAUUCAGUAGCUUGGCAUAGAUCUCAUUACCUGCUGCAUCAGGUCACAUCAGCUGAUGUGUGUGCUGCCUGGCAUGAUGUGCACAGCAUGAAAGCAACUGACACAGCAUUGCCUCUCCCCAGCACAGAGAUGGGGAGCAUUGGAUGCUCAGACAACAACUGAUGAAGUUAUUAAAUCCUCUCUGUCACCUGCAGCUAGGCAAAUGACCAAAUUCUCUGAAGAAUCUUCAUUUAAUAGCAAAUUUUUAUUGUUGUGCUGGCUUGAGGACAGGGUUUUCUUGCAGAGCACCUCCACUGCCACUGCAUCAGAAACUCAUGUUGGGCUGUUGAGGGCUGAGUGCCCCAGAGACAGCCAGGCAGUGAGUGUGGGAAGCAUGCACAUACUGCAGGGUGUGCAAGGCCAUUCCCACUGAUUUAAGUAGUUAUAGUCCUCUACAAAAAUAUUAACAUGGCAGGUAUAAAACCAAAAGCUUCAUGGCUAUCCACAGAUAUUGAGAGAUUUGCACUAACUUCUUAAACCAUAAUGCUAAACCAUUGCAGAAAAUAAAUUUUCUGAAAGCUGGGCUAAGAGGGCACAUUUCAAAAAUAAAAAGCUUGGGAAACUCAUUGAGAUAAUGAGCUGUAGGUGAUUAACCCAAUCACUCUUGAGGUCACCAGCAGUAUUAGAGCCAUAAUCCCAUUGAUUUAGAUUAUUGUACAGUUUUUUAUUUCAGUAACUUCUAGGCUGUAUGUUUUUAUGUUAUGUCUUACUCUUGCUUGAUGGUGUGUAAGGCCUCACCAGAAAUCAAGGGUGAAUAUUGUUCAAGCAAAGAAAAUUGUACCUCUCCUUAUCACACGAAGUUAUUUCCAGACUCUGUAAAAUUUCAAAUUUCAAACUUGUGUCUGGAAACUCUGGAGAAAUUGUGGCAAGUUUGGAAAAUAGAAAAAAGGGGUGCUCCUGCUGUCCUCCCCCCGUGUAUUUGCCUCUCCGGGCAGCGUGCCUGACUCGCUGUGCAGCUCCCUGCUGCCAGCCCUUGUUUUGUGCUCCGGAGGUCAUGAAAGGAAGCUGGUGUUUUUCUAAUCAUGACCACCAGGUUCAGAACAGGGGAAGAACAAAGAUGGGGAGACAUUGGAGAGAUAAUGUUGGGCUACUGCAAUGGCUCUAAUGGCUAUUUUACACUGAAGAAUGAAUUGAGGCUUCAUAGUUGGAAGCUGGAAGAGGGUUGUGGCAGAAUUGCUGUGAAAGCCUGAGGAGACCUAGUGACUGAAUGCACAUGUAAAGCAGAGUAAUGAUGCAGUCUCCAUGGCAGCAUCUCAGAAUUGUACAGUAAUAUUUUGAAAUGUAAUAUAGAUUCUAAUUUUUCAGUCUUAACCCAUCAAAUCAGUUUUCCUAUAAAUACCCACGCUAUCCAGUCUCCCAAAGAACUAAGGCUGACAGUUAUUUUAAGCCUGCCCAACCAAAGACAAAAAUGCAAUUUCCAUUCCCUGCCAAAAUGCACUCCUUCAGUUAGGAGAGCAGAAGGAUUUUGAUUUUAGGCAGGCGAAAUCAAGGAAAUACAGAAAUUACAGGAGGAACAUGAUCUCUGCUUCCUCGUAUAUCUGGAUUAUGGGAACCUUCAAUUGCCAGCAUCUGAAAACACUGAAACUCUGUGGGCAUGUAGGUAGGAAAUCUUCUUACCAUGACUGGCUACACCACCAAUCAACUCAGGGCACAAAAGGGCUGCUGAAUCUGUCUGAAGCCACUGGUGUUCACCGUGGUGUGUAACUCAGAGCACAUCUGAAAAGAGAGUGGCUGCAUCUGCAGACAAAAACUACAGGCUUAAAUAGACACCUAGCGAAACAAGCCCCAGGUGCUCUGCUGAACCCACUAGUGUCUCAGUAUGUGCCUUUGUGUCUCAGGAAGCUGAUGCUGAUCCCAGGUAACUGGGAGCAAGUGUGAACACCCAAGGAAGCAAGUGAAUGUCCUCAGUGAUGGUUGUCUGGUCUCCAUAAUAACAGCUGGAUUCCAUUCAGCCUAAGAGCUUGACCGAGAAAAGAUGCUCCAAUGAAUACUAGUCGUGAUCUAUGGCUCCACCCGACUUCAUCCUCUGUUGAGGAAGUUCACAAUGAUCUUAUGAGAGCUGCUGAAAAGUUGUCAAAGUUGUUGAUUAUCAAAGAAUGGCAAGGGUGAGGAUGGUUAAUGGGGUUGUAUUGGAUGGUGUGGGACCUGAGUAGGACAUAAAUGGUAUGGAAUAAGGGGUGGAUUGUGCAGAUUUUGGCUGGGGUAAAGUUAAUUUUCUUCACAGUAGCUAAUAUGGAGCUAUGUUUUGGAUUUGGCUGAACAGAGUGCUAAUAAUGCAGAGAUGUUUUUGUUCUUGUUGAGCAGGGCUUACACAGAGGCAAGGCCUUUUCUGCUUUCCUGCUAUAACACUGGCAAGGAUGUUGGGGGUGUGUGGGAGGCUGGGAAGAGACAUAGCUGGGAGAGGUGACCCAGACUGACCAAAGGGAUAUUCCAAAGCAUGUGACAUCAUGCCCAGAACAUGAAGUGAGGGGAAGAAGGAGGGCAGUGGGGGACAUUUGGGGUGAUGGCCUUUGUCUUCCCAAGUCACCAUUACAUGUGACAGGACCCUGCUCUCCUGGAGAUGGCUGAACACCUGCCUGCCCAUGGGUAGCAGUGAAUUAAUUCCUUGUUGUGCUUUGCUUGUGUGUGUGUGGCUUCUGCUUUCCCUAUUAAGCUGUCUUUAUCUCAACCCAUGAGUUUUCCAGAUUUUAUCAUUCUAAUUCUCUACCCAGUCCUGCUGAUGUGGUAGUGAGUGAGUGUCUCUGUGGGGCUUGGUUGCCAGCUGGGGUGAAACCACAACAAAAGUUAUAAUGGGAAAACAUGCCCUUAUUCAUCACUGUGCAAAUGUAAUUAUUAUGCAAAGAGGUAUAACUCAUUUUGAAAUUACUUGGAUUUGUGGUAUAGCUCUAUAUACACAUUCUACUGAGUCUGAAAUAUUUGCUUGAUCAUCCCAGACUAGGUUUUCUAACCCCACUCCCAUUUUCACCUUGUGUGCAGAGCACUUGGAUAUCUUAACCCUGGACUGCUCUUACAGACUGGCUGCUUUGAAGACCAGAUAUGAAAAGGUUUGGACAGACAUAAAGUAGUGUCCCCUGUAAAAAUCAGAAACCCAGUCUUAUCCUCUGAUGGAAAGCAAUGGGCUAAAAUCUGCCAGUCAGGCAUGACAGCUCAGACCCAUGCUAGAAUUACUAAUUAAAAAAAAUAAGUUACUCAUGCUCUUGGCAAGUUACAUGUAUUGCCAUCUGUAGUAGCAGUUACAUAAGUGGUGCCAGGAUUUCUUUAGGAAUUGAGAGCAUUUUAUUCUUUCCAAUCCUCAGAGACACAUUAAGGUGUUGCUAACAGCUUUGUUGCUAAUUACACUUACAACUAAAGAAACAUGAAAUAAAUAAGUAUAGCAUGAGACAAUGACAAGGAAUGUCAGAUAAAUAAGAGAAUAAUCAAUAAACAAGUAUUUCUAACAAUUAUCUUUGUGGAAACUGGAAACUCUGAUUUUCAAAUGGGGAGAUACCUACUCAGUGAUGCAGGUGCUGUGCCAGCUUGCAAAUAAAUAAGAAAGAAGGGUCUGGCAGAUACUUGUCUGUGUGAGGUGUUGGGAUUCACUCCAUCCAGAAUCAAGCUCAGGAUAAAACAUGGCAUCUGGAUAAGAAAGAGCAGGAAAUUGCACAGCUGUUUCAAGACAGUGCAGCAAUCAUUGCCCAAAUUCAGGGAUCCAGUGUUGGCCGUGAUGCUUUAGAGAUGUCCCUUGGUCUCCCAGAGGUCCCAAUUCUAUCUGCUGGCCCUGUGCAGGUGCUCCAUCCCACUGGCACCACGUCCCAGGCCCCAGGAAAGGAGGCAGGAGGGGUGAAAUGCAAGUGCAUGGUGAAAAGUGAAAACAACCUGAUCAUAUGGAGGUCACUGACUGGGAUGUGGGGGCAGCACAGAUAACCAUCAGCACCAGCUGAUAGAUUUCACCUGGGGAGAAAGAAGAGGAGGAGGAGGAGGAGGAAGAGGAAGAAGAACGCUCAUGGUACUGCAUUUAAACGUGAGCCAAAAGCUCACCCACGGUCAUUUUCAGGCAGAAAAUUUAGAUAUGGUCUUCAGUCUUUUCUAUUUGUACCACAGAUGGUGAAUAUAUUACCCAGCUUGUCCUAUUUUUCAGCUGUGACUGUAAGUUUUCUGCACAUAUUCGUGCCUUUGUAGAGGCUCCUGGUGCAGGUGUUAAUUCUCCCCAAAAUCUGAGCUGAUUGGGAGCUACAAUCACACCCUUAGGGAUGAAAAAGUGGAAAUGUUGGAAAAGUGGGAAGGUCACAAUUUCAAAAACAACUCCAUGUCCCUCCUGCUUCUUAAUAAGUCAUAUUUUUAAAAUCUUAUUUCUCUACAGGGGUUGAUUCUACCUUGUUAUUUGUACAGCUUCUGGUAUCAUCAAGUACAAAUGUGGAACCCUUGGCAUUACCAUUGUACAAAUUCUUAAAAAAAUGUUCUUAAAGACAAAAAAGAUUUUUUUUUCUCUCUGUUUAUAUCUUAAGAUCAUCUCUCUGACAUGUUUUAUAAUUAAAAUAUAUAUAGCAGAAACAAUGACUAAUUAGAAAAAAAUUACAGGUUUAUGCCUUUCUGUAUAAAACAUUAAAAACUGCAACAAGCAAAGAUGUUUCAUAGUUCCAGAAAUACAAUUAUAUAUUAUUUCUUAAUCGUCAAUUAUAUAUUAAUUUCUUAAUUAAUAUGCUCAGUCAGAAAAGUCAGUCAAUCAAAGCAAACCUUAGCUCCCACUUUAACAUUAAAACCUAAAAAAGGGUAUGUUGAUUUAAAAUAAGCAGGCACACCCUAGAGGAAAGCAUGAAAUGCCACAGUUUCAUAUGGGACUGUAUUUAAUAUGAUAAUAUCAUGUGAAAUAUAAUGCAGAAAAUACCAUUAAUACUAAUUUUUUUAAAAACCCUUUUCUAAAAAGUGCUGCCUAUUUUGUGUUUAUACA